UAUAUAAGAUAUGGGCCUCUCCAC
rnacentral:siRNA from 1 species